rnacentral:rRNA from 1 species
UACGUAGGGUGCGAGCGUUGUCCGGAUUUAUUGGGCGUAAAGAGCUCGUAGGCGGUCUGUCGCGUCGGCUGUGAAAUCCCGAGGCUCAACCUCGGGUCUGCAGUCGAUACGGGCAAACUAGAGUAUUGCAGGGGAGACUGGAAUUCCUGGUGUAGCGGUGAAAUGCGCAGAUAUCAGGAGGAACACCGGUGGCGAAGGCGGGUCUCUGGGCAAUAACUGACGCUGAGGAGCGAAAGCGUGGGGAGCGAACAGG